GACGGGGGCUCACACAACCGGUGGAGCAUGUUGCUUAAUUCGAUGCAACGCGAAGAACCUUAUCCUGGACUUGACAUGUUUGGAUGCCUCCCUGGAAACAGGGUUGGUUGCCCUUCGGGGUGAGACAUUCACAGGUGCUGCAUGGCUGUCGUCAGCUCGUGUCGUGAGAUGUUGGGUUAAGUCCCGUAACGAGCGAAACCCUUGUCGUUAGUUGCCAGCGCGUAAUGCCGGGGACUCUAGCGAGACUGCCGGUGUUAAACCGGAGGAAGGUGGGGAUGACGUCAAGUCCUCAUGGCCUUUAUGUCCAGGGCUGCAAACGUGCUACAAUGGCGUGUACAAACCGACGCAAGACCGCGAGGUGGAGCAAAUCGGAAAAAGCACGCCACAGUUCGGAUUGGAGUCUGCAACUCGACUCCAUGAAGUCGAAUCGCUAGUAUCGCGUAUCAGCGUGACGCGUGAUGUGUUCCUGAGCCUUGUACACACCGCCCGUCAAGUCAUGAAGCUGGAGCGCCCGAAGUCGCA
rnacentral:rRNA from 1 species